rnacentral:pre_miRNA from 1 species
UGUUUGCAAUUCCCAGUGAAAUCAUUCUUUGAGUGCCACAGUUAUACAUCCGUAUGAAUUUCCUUUUCUAAGCACUCAAAGAAUGAUUUCACUGGGAAUUGCAAAU